UUUUAAGUCCACCAUGCAGACAUACUCAGAAAAAAAGACUUCUUUCAAAAUAUUACUGUUCAUUGACAAUGGACCUGGUUACCCAAGAGCUCUUAUGGAGAUGCACAAGGAGAUUAACGUUGUUUUCAUGCCUGCUAACACAACAUCCAUUCUGCAGCCCAUGGAUUAAGAAGUACUUU